AACGAACGCUGGCGGCAGGCUUAACACAUGCAAGUCGAGCGCCCCGCAAGGGGAGCGGCAGACGGGUGAGUAACGCGUGGGAAUCUACCCAGCUCUACGGAAUAACUCAGGGAAACUUGUGCUAAUACCGUAUACGUCCGAUAGGAGAAAGAUUUAUCGGAGUUGGAUGAGCCCGCGUUGGAUUAGCUAGUUGGUGGGGU
rnacentral:rRNA from 1 species